rnacentral:other from 1 species
UUACCCCUGCCUUGUUCGUGAUGGGCGGAAAAACUUAGAACCAACAUCUAAGAAAAGGGAGCUGUCCCUUGCUGUAGGAGGACAGGCCCUGAUUUUUUGGGGAAGUCUCAAGCAGUAAUAUGGCGCCCACCUGGUAAAACAGGUUCAAGUGGAACUCCUACACGGCAAAGUGGGGGGAUA